UCUGAAAAGAUUUGGUAGCCACAAGCGUUCUCUAGACCUAAACACUGUUAAAAGUCUUGAAAAAAGUAAACAAACUCUCCAGUAAGCCUUCACCCACCAAGACAACAGUUUUGGAGUUAACAUAGAGGAGAUAUCAAACCUUCAAUUUCACAAUUCUUUGACCAUCAAAAGGUUGGCGGCUAGACCAAAAACAUUCAGGGCUACAGCCCCGGAAGCCAACCCCUAACAAUGGCGAUGCUGCUGGACCAACAGUGACCACCGUUUCAAAUCUCUGAUGCAUAAAUUAUGUCUAUUCUACAAAAUAGAGUGGUGAGAGUGUGGUGCCUUAAGAGGACCCGUUGUGAUUCUUUGACACCACAGGACCGGGACACACAAGGAUUCCGAUAUCGUCAUGGCCAUGGUAUGCAUUGACUCUCCAAAUAGUACAGCCCCUUUGCAGAGUCAGGGCAAUUCUAUGAUAAAUAUUUUCCAGGAAUGUGCUAAACAAAUCUCUUGUUUCAGAAAGUAGCAAUUGCAAUGCCAUAUCUUCAUAUUCAUUUAGAGUUGUAUUCUUGGGUUAAAUCCAAAUGGUACCAUAGAGCAGGGUUUACCAAACUCUACCCUGGGGUCCCCCCUUGACGAAACAUUUUGUUAUUUGCCCUAGCACUACACAGCUGAUUCAAAUAAUCAUUCAUCGUCAAGCUUUGAUUAUCAAAUCAGCUGUGUAGUGCUAGGGCAAAAAACUAAAUGUGCACCAAGGGGGGACCCCCAGGGUAGAGUUUGGUAAACCC
rnacentral:lncRNA from 1 species